rnacentral:SRP_RNA from 2 species
GCUAGGUAUAGUGGGGUGCACCUGUAAUCUCAGCUAUUGGGAGGCUGAGGUGGGAGGAUCACUUGAGCCCAGGAGGUUGAGGCUGCAGUGAACUAUGACUGUGCCACUGCACUCCAGCCUGGGCGACAGAGUGAGACCCCAUCUGAA